AUAUAUAUAUACAGAAUAGACUUCUAUUAUAGUGAAAAACUUUAAUAUACAAGUUACUAAAAUCUAUGGUGUAUCAAUCUUAAACUUUCUUUUGUCCAUUACUAUAUCUAUUAAGUAUUUAAUAAUUGUUCUUUCUAUUCUAAUGCUUUUUAAUUAUAGCAGAAUUGAACUACAAAGUAACGAAGAAAAGUAGGAGCAACGUGGUAAUGAAAAAAAAAAGAAAAGCCAGGAAAUUUGAAACUAGUGAUCCAUUAUGCAGCAAAGAUAUGUAUGUAAUUUGAGGUAAAGUAAAUAAUAAUAGAGAGGAGAGCAAUGUUUUUUUUAAACUCAGCAAAGCUAAGCUGAAAAAAGAAGAAAAGUAGAAGUAACACGGCAGCCAAGUAAAAAAGGAGGAAAGCUGAGAAACAAAUGUUGAAAGUUGAAACUAAUGGCGGAGUCGAGGCUACUAAUUGCCAUGGAAAUUUCGCAGGGUCUGGUGAAUUCGUUCAGGAGGUCCCGUGGCACAGUCGAGGUCGAGAGUUGAAUCUAAAUGAUCCUGGUUCUCGGAAGGAGAGGACCAUCAGGACACGCGACACUUCCCAAGUCGAAGGAAGCGUGCCCUUUCUUAUUUUUUCCUCCUGCUUGGAACCCUGUGGUUGCUACGGGCCCCUGGAAUCAUCCUGGUGAAAGAUUCAUCGUUGCUGUUUCAGCGGACUCUGUAUAUGUUACCAACUGAUGCAAUUUGUAGAUCUUUGAUAAAAAAAAAAGGAGAAAACCAGUCUCCAGGGGUGAAUUUUACAAUAGAAAUGACAUAGGAAACAAAAUCAAUAACAUAAUUUGAUUUAUAAGAAGAUAAAAAGAAGAAAUGUGUGUUGUAUGUGGAGAAAAUCACCGACGCCAUUUUCUUUGGAAUCCCCUUCAUUUGGUCCGAACCAAUUGUAAACGAGUCUCACCUGUACAUUACCUCUCACCUCUGCCUUAGUCUCCUAUUGGAGGAUUAAGAGCAGGUGUGACAGACGUUUGCACUUGCAUCCCUGACGGUGUAUACGCCAUGGACACGGAUGGCUGCUAGGUUUCAUCGAAACAGCUGUUGUCUGAUGUUGUCCCUACCCGAUGUCAGACUUGGAGCUAUUAAAAUUCAGCGAAAUCUAUCGCACCAACUCAGAACUAGCCGUAGCUCUUACUACAUACUACAUAAUAUUACAGUUAAGUGCAUUUACUUCAAUUUUCUCUUCACAUACAUUUUUUUCCAAAGAAGAAUGCUCUUUCGCUCUGAUUUUCUUAGCUUUAUAGGUUUUUACGUUAUUGUUCCUCCAAUUUUAACUUCUUUUUUUAGCAAAACUCUAUGAAAGUAAAUUUCUUCUUUUAUUUUAUUUCUUUAAGCUCUUAAUCACCUUUUACUUCAUGCAUUUUUUCUCUAAAACAGUUGCUUUCUUUUUUCUACAGUUUUGAGCUUCCUCUCUCUUAAUAACUUCUACAUUUCUUUUUAUAUCUUCUUUUUUCUUUAAUAUACUAAAAAGCAUAGAAAUCUAAUGUGAAUCUAACUGAUCUCUUCCUUCCCCAGGUUCUCUUCCAUUUUCUAUUUUCUAACCUCAAACAGUCGGUGUGUCGAGCUCGUGAAUUUUCGAUAGGACUCGUCGUAUUCGAUAGCAGCCACGCUAAACGCACCGUGCCACGAAUGUGUAACGAGAAACGACCGACCCUCUUUCUUUCUUUUUUCCCCAUGAAGUCAGUUCGGGUCGCUGCUUUGAAAUUGGCACGCGGGAUGAUUUUAGCUAUUCGAAGUCUGGCGGAAAGGAAGGAGAACGCGUCGCGUUCGACCCGCUGGCGCCAACACGACAAAAACUUUUCAUAAUCGGCCGUGUCUCCCCUCGUUCUUUCGUUUCUGACUCCAUCACAUCGGCCUAGAAAUCUAGGAAUCCCCGCCUUUCUCUAAUCUUUCUUCAGCUUGUUUUAAUAUCUGAAUAAUAGUAGUGAAUAAUCGCCAGAAAUAUUUUAACUUUGCCUCUUGAUAAAUUUUCUUCUAGUACCUUGCAGAGUGGUAGAUGUAAAUUUACUAAAUACUAAGGAAGAAUAUUAAUUACAACUCUAUAAUGUAUUAGCAUGACAUUUUUUAAUAUCAAGCACUGAGGUUCAGAUAUUACUAAAAGUUCUUUACUGUUGUCGUUCAGAUAAUGAAAAAGAUACAAAAUUUAGUAUUUAAUAUGUUUUAUCUAGUGUUAACAUAGUUUAUUAUUGUAUCUAGUUUUAAUAUAUAAUAUCUAAUAUCGUUAAUAUUUCAGUGACAACAAUGAAGAUUUUUAACCUCGAUUUUUAAUUGAUUUCUUUCUUUUACUUUAAUUAUCCCCUUUAACGUGUGACUUAUUUUAUGUUUUAUCUUAUGCCUUAUCUGUAUGUCUUCUUUUUCUAACUUUAGCCUUUUCUUUUUAUGUAGAUAUUUUAUGGUGGAUGAAAGGGAAGAGACAUUACUAAAAUUUCUUCAAUGAAUCUUCCAAGAAGGCUCUACUUCUGUGUCACAGCCUGGUGAGGACUUUCAGGAACCUGAUCCAGUAGGAAUUUUUUCUGAAUGAAUAACUCUUAACCAUUCACUUAAUCAUACACGAACUUUCUCCUUACACUUUACAAAAAAUCACAUAUACUCUUUUCUCUCUUUUAUUUUAUUUUUUAAUGGUUUUACAUCUUCAUACACUUGCUUAUUAUUGUAGCAAUGUAAUGUAAUUCUGUCGUGAAUAUUAUUGCAGCAUAAUUAAGGUAAUUAUUCUUAGCAAAUUUGUAGUUGAAAAAUGGUAAUUGAUCUUCACUCUACUUAUUAUAUAUGUAGAAUAUUAACAUUGACCAAUAUAUGGGAACUCCCAUAAUAGAUUAAAGGAAAAAAAAUGAAUUCCACCAAAGGAGCCGCCUUCAGCAAUGGAAAAAAGGAAGAACAGGGAUUUUAAAAGCGUUGCAUAAAAAAGGGUCUCCCUUGGUCAAAGUACUAUGUGCCACCCUGAGCAAGUAAAAGGGGUUGGUCCUCUAGAAUAAUCUAGAAUAUGGCCCCUUUUUAUUUGGACACCGAAAAUGGUCGCUGCGAUGAGCUUUCUCGAGGUAUAAAUCAACAGUCUAGGAAAAACACACGGCGAGAGUCGUUCAACGCUGAUAUAUGAACACGUGAUUCAUUAACAGCCACUGAUGAAGUAUGUGUUAAUGAAGAGAAUCCUCUUCUUCGUUCUCGUUCUAUCCCCCAAUUUUAAACCGUGUUUUCCCUAUGAAAUCACGUGGUUCAAACGUUAUUUUCGAAGGAGAAAUGGACGUAGAGCGAUUUUAGGUUAAUCCUCCUAAUGUGAACCAUCAUGUUGUUUUUCCUUAAAACUUCUACCAUACUGAAAUUAUUCUUCAAUCUACUCUUUUUAGAUAAUCUAUACUUAUGCUUAAUUGCAUUAUGUUCAUUUAUUCUUUGCUUAUAUUUUCUUUGUGAAUAUAAUAAUACUAUGGUGAAAUUACAUUACAUGUAGGAGAAAUAGUAACUAAGAAAUAAUGAGUAUCGGUAUUGGAAUGGUAUGAGUAUUGAAAAUAAUGAGUAACUUGGUUUUGGUUCAAUAACGUUAUAACAAAUUUUCACUGCCUUGUUACAACAAUAAUUAAAUAUAAGAGGAUACAAAAUAUAUGAAUAUAUGAAGAUAUAUAUGAAGAAAUAUAUGAAGAUACAAAAUUAAGUUGAUCAUAGUAAUCUGAUUGGACACCAAUGAGAUUCAAUCAACGAAGCAAGUCCAGCCUUUGCGUUUGGAUAGUGGAUGUGAAGGUAGAGGGUUGCUCUUCUAUCCGUUUCUCUCCCAUUCUUUUCUUGAAACCGACGACACGCAGUCGCGGAGGGGCGGCGCCUUCAAAUGGUAGCACCCAGAGCGCAGACGCCUUCGGUUUCACAGCGUGCUUCCGGCUUCAACUAGAGCAACAAUCUCGACUAUCAGAAAUCUUUCGACCGUUCUGAAAUAAACCAGGAGAGCACGUCGGGGCUUCCCAUUCGCCUUCGAAAAUGUGUUUACACGGCACUAUACACUUCACCGGAAUAAUUCUCGAUGUCUUUUUGCUCCGUACGAAAACGAACGAGUUUUCCUUGGCGCCUGUAUUGUGAGGUCCGCGAUUUCGCGGUAUCGCCUGAGUAAAUUCCAUCCAUCGGCGGGGGUGGCGGCUGUUACAAUUUACUGUUUCCACGUUCCGAUCUAUUUUAAUUAUUGCCGGCGAGGUUAGCCGCGAAAAAUUCCAUAAAUCUUCGUCUGCUGCGGUAAUUAGCGGGAAUACUUUCGACUAGCGGGCAUAAAUCCCGCAAUUCCUUCCAGGAACCUCGGAACAUUGACGACACGAGGUGCAACACAGAUCCAGUGUCUCUCAAGUAACCGAAUUUUUCAAAUUGAAGUGACUAAAAGUUCAUUUCAGAAUGUUUUACGCGAUAAUUAUUGAAGAGGAAAGAGGAAGAUAACUGGAAUUAAGAGAUUAUUGCAAUUUUAAUUAACGAUUGUCAAUUGUUUAUUGAUUAUUUAUUGUAGGAAAAUUAUAGAGUGGCUGAAAAAUGGUCAGAAGUUGAUUUAAAAUCUUGUUACAAUUUUUUAAAUAAUAAUUGAAGAAGAAAGGAGAAGAGAAUGGGAAUUGACAAUCAGUAUGGAUUAUUUAUCAUGAAGCAAAUUUACAAUAUAAAAUUCUCCUAUUCUAUCUUAAAAUCUUUUGUUAAAGAUUCUUUAGGAAAGACUAGCUUAGAAAUUUCUGGUUCUUAUGAAUUUUUAGGAAAUUAAUUACCGGGGAAAGCCAAUUUGAGGUGCUAUGUCACGGAGUGAUCAUUUGAAAAAUGGAGGGACGUCGCGUAAAUCGGUAUUAUAGAGGUUUGAACGGCUGUAACUGUUCUUAAUUCGCGGGGACGUUUAUUUGCUGCACUCCGGGGCAAUAUAAUUCGACGCGUUUCCGCUAUUUUUAUCGUUUCGUGAUUCAUUUUCCCUACUAUUAAAAAGAAUUAUUGCCUUCGAGUCUCAGAACGUGUUACUGCAACGACACCUUCCUGUCUUUUUAUAAUCUCUUCAUUCCUAACCUCCAAGUAACUCGUUUUACACUUAUUUAAACUACCAUAGAUUAAUCAUAUCUUCUUUUAUUUCCAGAAAGACACAUACUUCUAAUUUCUUCAAUAUCAUUCUUGAAUUAAUACUCAUUCAAACAUGCCCGCAUCUUCAUACAGAGAAGUAUAAAUCAGUUAUUAAUUCACGCAUCUUGUAUUCAAGAGUAAAUUUUAUUUAAGAACGUUUCAGGAUGAAAAAUAUUGGAAGAAACUGUUUUCGAAUGGUAAAAAUACUUUUCAUUGUCGAAAGAGUGGAAACUGUGCUGAAGAUAAUAAUCGCUUUCCGUUCGCCGUAAAUCUCUCCUUAUGAACGGUGGCGAUAGGGUUUGCCUGCACGAAAAUAGAGUUUUUUCCUGGCCCUCGUAAAAUAUUUAUAUGCGCAAAUAGUGGAGAGCCGGGUAGAAAACGGGGCUGAACGAAAAGAAGACAUAGAUAAGAGACUCAUGGAAUUUAUUCUCCUUCUUCUGUGUUGUUUUUCACCCCGGAAAUAUCUCUCUGGUCGGCACAUGAGAUUUUCCUUGCGAAAAAGUCAACGUCACUCGUGAUUUUUACUUUGAUCUCUCACGACUUUUCAUCCGACGCUUAUCGUUUCAAUCUCUUUAUCUUUAAAUACGGUAAAAAUACUGUUACAUUGAGGAAGAAACAGUUCCCUCCCAGUUUACAAAAGAAAUCAUUUAAAAUUAACAAUCUUUGGUUACAAGCAACAUUUCUUCUUUUACAUUAAGCUACGUUCAUGAAUUUUAAGUUAAGAAAAAAUAUGUAAAAUGUCUUGGAGUAAAGAAAGUGGAAUUUUUUAGUUGUCUUCUCUAUUGGAUGAAGCUCUAAAAUCCUUUCCUGUGCAGAUGUUGACGGCAAAGUAUCUAGGGAAUCGAAGAGGUGACAAAAUCGGCCCUUCGGUUUUAAUAGAGAAGUGGACCCAUUACGCUAUCGCUUGAAAAAGCCGUUAUUCAUGUUGGACAGCUGUUUCCUUGGUUAAAAAAAGGUUGCUGUCGCUUUUUGAAAGAAACGAGUGUGAAGUGAUCAUCCAAAAUGGGCAAAGAAGUUUUUUAAAUUCACCUUUUUUAAGAAAAUUGAACUUGCAACAAAAAGAAGACCUAACAAUCAUUAUUUCACUGAAAAUCGUAUAAUUUUAUUUAAAUUAUGUUUUUUAAGAGUAUCUUAAAAAAUUUAUUUCUUGAGGUGAAGUUCCUUUUUUAUUAAUAUUGAAAGUGGAUUAUGCAAUGGAAGUAGUCGGUCAGAUCUUUGUUAGAAAACCGUUCCGACUUUUCAGUCCCGCCUCCCAAACAGGAAAUUAGUUGCCGACAGGCGGUUCGAAUUAUACAUUUCUCGGUAAAGACCUCCUUUUUCUAUCUUCCGCCUUGAUUUUGCUUCAUCGGCCACAUCAAAGCAAAAUCAUAUCCAUUUCUUUUUUUUCAAUUCAUUUUUCAUCGAUUUAUCCCAAAAUUUUAUAAACAUUUACGUCACAUUAAAACUAAUGUAUUAUUAAAAUAAAGUUUAGGUUAUAAAUUGUAACAUAGCUUUAAUACAGUAUCUAACUGCAGAUAUCGUGAUAAAGAUUCCAUUGGUUUCUAUUUUACUUACCUAACCUCCAGUGAGCUUUUUAUGCAAGCUUACUGUGUGAGAGGAGAGAAGUUGUCGACGUGUUCCCUCGACAGCUGCCACCACUAUAAGAUCCGGUUCACACGAGUCUCCUCACUUGUCUCCCCUUGAUCUUCUUUUUACACUUUUAUAAGAGCUUUCUGAAAACUGUGCGUGACACUAUCACCAAAUUUCUUCUUCUUCGUUCACUUUUCUUUGUUGCAUUAUACCGUAAUUGAUCUUAGUUAAUUGAUUAUUCGUUGAUAAUUUCAUCAUUUUAUUGGCAAUAGCUGGUAAUAGUGUUACGAGAUGGAUGAUGAAAUAACCUUUCAUUUGCAGAACUGAAAGAGCCACCUCAUGCGCGAACUUUUUGCCAGAGAAGCACUUAUCAAGGACGUUCAAUUUGCAAUACACUUGUAUGGUGACAGUGUUGGUGUAAGUCGGUAAACAGGAAAACACUGUGCGCAUUCAUUCCUCUCUACUGACCCACAUUCGCAGAAGUCGCUAUCUUUUCUUCUGCUUCUCUUCUCUACCCUCGAACAAUCAGCUAUAAGUCAAGCCAGCCACGGCUCGUUGAUCUGUCGUUUCUCCUUGCUCAGGAUCGUACGAAUCACUUUUUGCACCUUGCAUUUAUCUUUAUUCGAAGAAAAAAGUGGUACCAUAUCGAUAAUUCAUUUCUCCAGUUAUUUUAUUUUUAGUUCUAGUUAUUUUCAGGUAAGAAAGCUGUUUUUGUUUCGUAACGUCAUGUAAGUAUGUAAUUAAGUAAAAGUAAAUAACUGGAUAAAAUAUUAAAUAUAAGAUUUAAGACACUGGAACUAUUUUUAGAGAAUAUAGUUAAAUUUAUUUUUUUGUACAGAAUUAUUAAAAAAAGAAAGUGAUUAUAUUUGAUCCGCAGCAGUUGUCCAACAAUAACAAAUAAAUAGAUAAGAUAUUAAAUAAAAGAUUUAAGGUCCUAGAAUUAUUUUUAAAAAAUAUAUAAUUGAAUUUGUUAGAUAUACUUAUUGGAAAAUUUAGAGGAAGAGGAUUUAGAAAAUUAGAUUUAGAAAAAAGUAAUUCUGAUGUUUUUGCAACAUCUUAACUAGAAUUUUUUCUUUCAGAGAUCCUUAUAAGUGGCGACGCGACGCAACGUCACUGGAUCAUUCGUCUGCACGUCAACUUUCUUCCGUUUCAUUUUUGUCGACGUCCAGUCACUAUUUUCGACUAAUUUACUAAUUCGAAUCGGAACUAGCAGGAUCCCCGACGACGUUCGAUUCAAAGAAAUACAUUUGUACGGAUGUUAGGAAACAUCAAAGCACGUCACAUUGUCGGACGUCCCUCUGAAUGUGUUUCUUCUUUUAUACUCGAGGAAAGUAAAGUGAAACCAACGUAAAGUGAAACCUUUCAGUAGAGAUGUAACUAUAAUAAGAAAAGUGAAAAGAAUUAGAAAUUGAGAAAGAGUUACCAGAAAUAUAUUUUUUAACCUCUCUGAUUUUGAUAUUGCAGAAUUUAUAUCAUAAUUUAAUAUUUCAGAAUUUUAAUAUGCCUAUUUUAAUGUUGCAUGAAGGAGAUAUUUGAUAAAGUUGUAACAAGGUUGGUUACUGAAUGUAAGAAGUAAAAUCAGGAGGAAAAAAAGAAGCAGUAGUCGGGUCGAGAAAUUUGGUGAUCCAUGCAAGUAUGUUAUGCAGAAAUUUAGGAGUCAGAUACUUAAUUGGUCGUCCUGUGUGAAUUGUGGCCCACGUGGUGGUAGAUGUCUAUAUACACUCAAGGAACCAAAACCAAGUGAGAGUAACAUAAUUAAAGCUAUUCAUCUUGCUUCAAAUUUGAAGACUACGGAAACCAUCAAAAUUGAUUUUGAUGAAAUUAACAAAACUUGCAUAGCAACGGUAUAUCUAAUUUUUUAACUCGUGAAUUAUAAUUUUUUAAAUUAUUUCUUUUUAUUAUUGAAGGGAGAAUCCGUGUCAAAUGAAUGGUUCAGGAUUUUCGAUUAUGGCACAAAUUACUGCAAUUUGCAUAAUUUAGUAACCGAGAUUGGUUUUGAUAAAAGUUCAAAGUUCUUGGAAUUGACAAGCAAUGCAGUUUGCACACAG